rnacentral:misc_RNA from 1 species
GAUGAAGAACGUAGCGAAAUGCGAUACGUAGUGUGAAUUGCAGAAUUCAGUGAAUCAUCGAAUCUUUGAACGCACAUUGCACCUCUCGGUAUUCCGGGAGGUAUGCCUGUUCGAGCGUCAUUUGUACCCUCAAGCUCUGCUAGGUGUUGGGUGUUUGUUCCGCCUCUGUGUGUGAACUCGCCUCAAAACAAUUGGCAGCCGGCGUACUUGUUUCGGAGCGCAGCACAUUUUGCGAUCCAGAUCAACGUACAGCGGCAUCCAAGAAGCCUUAUUUAACGCUCUUGACCUCGGAUCAGGUAGGGAUACCCGCUGAACUUAAGCAUAUCAAUAAGCGGAGGA